rnacentral:rRNA from 1 species
AAUGAACGCUGGCGGCAGGCUUAACACAUGCAAGUCGAACGCCCCGCAAGGGGAGUGGCGCACGGGUGAGUAACGCGUGGGAAUAUGCCCUUCGGUUCGGAAUGACACAGGGAAACUUGUGCUAAUACCGGAUACGAUCUACGGAUGAAAGAUUCAUCGCCGAAGGAGUAGCCCGCGUAGGAUUGGCUAGUUGGUGAGGUAAUGGCUCACCAAGGCGACGAUCCUUAGCUGGUCUGAGAGGAUGAUCAGCCACACUGGGACUGAGACACGGCCCAGACUCCUACGGGAGGCAGCAGUGGGGAAUAUUGGACAAUGGGCGAAAGCCUGAUCCAGCCAUGCCGCGUGAGUGAUGAAGGCCUUAGGGUUGUAAAGCUCUUUCGCCGGGGAAGAUAAUGACGGUACCCGGAAAAGAAGCCUCGGCUAACUCCGUGCCAGCCGCCGCCGUAAUAC